GACCCAAUGGCACAGUUGGUUAGUGCGCCUGCUCUAAAUCAAAUACUCCUACAGUUGUGCGGCAGGAGUCCCUCGUUCGAACCGGGGUUGGGUCA